rnacentral:lncRNA from 1 species
AAAUUACCAAAGCCUUCCGGGUCAGGCUGUGGAAGUCAGUCAGGCUCCGGAAGCCAAGUUCCGGAAGUCAGUAAGGCCUCGGAAGUCAAGUCCUGGAAGUUGGGCUUGCAAUCAUUAGGUGGAGAUAUUGUUUGUUCUGUGCUCAGAAUUCCCUGGAGUGAGACUCAGGACAAUAUUAAAUCCAAUGAAUCACGCAGCUUUCAGGAGGGCAGGGCAGCACGCUGCAGAGCAGCACUGAAUGAUGGCUUGGCCUGGCGUCCCUGGUGGCAGCAGUGGCCGCACCAGGCACCGUGUUCUCAUUCAACAAAGACUCAGUUUUGAUGUGAGGACUGUGAACAUCUCCAGAACAGGAGACAUUUGGAAGAGCUUGUGCCCACUGGUAUCUGAAACUUGGCUGCUCAUUCUUCAGAAACCCCUUGUAUCCUGCUAUGAUUCCUCAGCAACACCAUCACAUGGAAAAGAACCAACAAUGUGAAGAAACGAAUAUGGUGUUCAUUUUCAAACUGAAAAAGGAAAUAAUUACAGUUACUAUUUACAGUGUCUGGCUUUUCAAGCUUCAUGCUACAAGCAGCUAACUCUUUGUCAAACAAUUAAUUUUGUUUAAAAUAAAUAAGUUUAUAUAUUUAA